GACGGAGGGUGCAAGCGUUGCUCGGAUUCACUGGGCGUAAAGGGUGCGUAGGUGGUGGGAAAAGUCGGAUGUGAAAUCUCCAAGCUCAACUUGGAAAUGGCAUUGGAAACUGUCCUGCUAGAGGGUUGGAGGGGGGACUGGAAUGCUUGGUGUAGCAGUGAAAUGCGUAGAUAUCAAGCGGAACACCAGUGGCGAAGGCGAGUCCCUGGACAACACCUGACACUGAGGCACGAAAGCCGGGGGAGCAAACAGG
rnacentral:rRNA from 1 species